GAUGAACGCUGGCGGCGUGCCUAAUACAUGCGAGUCGAGCGAACAGACGAGGAGCUUGCUCCUCUGACGUUAGCGGCGGACGGGUGAGUAACACGUGGAUAACCUACCUAUAAGACUGGGAUAAAUUCGGGAAACCGGAGCUAAUACCGGAUAAUAUAUUGAACCGCAUGGUUCAAUAGUGAAAGACGGUUUUGCUGUCAAUUAUAGAUGGAUCCGCGCCGCAUUAGCUAGUUGGUAAGGUAACGGCUUACCAAGGCAACGAUGCGUAGCAGACCUGAGAGGUUGAUCGGCCACACUGGAGCUCAGACCCGUUCCACACUCCUACGCGAGGCAGCAGUAGGGAAUCUUCCGCAACGGGCGAAAGCCUGACGGAGCAGCGCCACGUAGGUGAUGAGGAUCUUCGUUUCGUAAAACUCUGUUAUUAGGAAAGAACAAAUGUGUAAGUAACUAUGCACGUCUUGACGGUACCUAAUCAGAAAGCCACGGCUAACUACGUG
rnacentral:rRNA from 1 species